UCGACUGUUUAACAAAAACAUUUCUUUUAGUAACCAUUAAAAGUAAAGCCUGCCCACUGAAUAUUGAAGGGCCGCGGUAUACUGACCGUGCUAAGGUAGCGUAAUCAUUAGUCUUUUAAUUGGGGAAUAGAAUGAAUGGCUAAACCUAUAAAAAUUUUAUUUUUUGCAAUUUUCUAAAUUUAAUUUUAGUUGAAAAUGAUUAAUUUAAGAAAAAAGACGAUAAGACCCUAUAGAUCUUAACAUAAUUGUAUAGUUUAGCUUUUGGGGGAAAGCUAAACUAUACAAUUAUGUUUGGUUGGGGCAACUAAAGAAAAACAUUAACUUCUUUAUAUUUUGAGGAUCUUAAAUUUUAAAAUUUAAAAAGUUACCUUAGGGAUAACAGCGUUAUAAUUAUUGAGAGUUCUAAUCGACAUAAUUGUUUGCGACCUCGAUGUUGAAUUAAAAUUUUUUUGGGGGGCAGCUUUUCCGAAAAAUAGUCUGUUCGACUGUUAAAUUUUUACAUGAUUUGAGUUCAGACCGGA
rnacentral:rRNA from 1 species